GCCAGUGUGGCGUAGUGGUCUGAGUGUUGGGCUGCUACUCUAGAGACUAGGUUCAGUUCCCAGCUCAGCCA